AAAGUCGUAACAAGGUUUCCGUAGGUGAACCUGCGGAAGGAUCAUUAUUGAAUAAACUUGACGUGGUUGUUAGCUGACUCUCCGGAGUAUGUGCUCGCCCGUCACCUUUAUCUUUCCACCUGUGCACACACUGUAGUCCUGGAUACCUCUCGUCGAAAGACGGAUGCGGAGUUUGCUGUUCCACCCUCACGGGAGGUCGGCUUCCUCUGAAUUUCCAGGUCUAUGAUCUUAUACACCCCUAAACGAAUGUUUCAGAAUGUAAUCAUAAGGCCUUGUGCCUAUAAACCUAUACAACUUUCAGCAACGGAUCUCUUGGCUCUC
rnacentral:misc_RNA from 1 species